UUUUAUUGUUUUUAGGUAAAUUCGCUGUUGUUUUUGUGUAUGGAGUUGGCUGGAAAAUGGUCAUGAUGCAUUUUGAAUGGGGAAUGAUGGGGACUGAUAGUAAAAGUUUCUUGUGUUGUUCUUGCUGCUACUUGCUCCAUUUGAGCUUCUAGAAUUUGUUAAAAGUAGAGGGGAAGAAGAAAGAGAUGAUGAGAAGUGCAAACUGUUUGCGAGCUUUAGAUUGAUGUAACAAG
rnacentral:lncRNA from 1 species